rnacentral:tRNA from 1 species
UGUAGUUUGGUGGUAGAGAAUGUGCCUAAUAUACAUAAGGUCCUGGGUUCAAUCCCCAGAACUGAAG